rnacentral:rRNA from 1 species
UACGGGAGGCAGCAGUGGGGAAUAUUGCACAAUGGGCGCAAGCCUGAUGCAGCCAUGCCGCGUGUAUGAAGAAGGCCUUCGGGUUGUAAAGUACUUUCAGCGGGGAGGAAGGUGUUGUGGUUAAUAACCGCAGCAAUUGACGUUACCCGCAGAAGAAGCACCGGCUAACUCCGUGCCAGCAGCCGCGGUAAUACGGAGGGUGCAAGCGUUAAUCGGAAUUACUGGGCGUAAAGCGCACGCAGGCGGUCUGUCAAGUCGGAUGUGAAAUCCCCGGGCUCAACCUGGGAACUGCAUUCGAAACUGGCAGGCUAGAGUCUUGUAGAGGGGGUAGAAGUUCCAGGUGUAGCGGUGAAAUGCGUAGAGAUCUGGAGGAAUACCGGUGGCGAAGGCGGGCCCCUGGGACAAAGACUGACGCUCAGGGUGCGAAAGCGUGGGGAGCGAAACAGGGAUUAGGAUAACCCGU